rnacentral:lncRNA from 1 species
AUCCCUAAUCCUGCCAGACACGAGUUAGUUAAACAGACAGAAGCUCCCGGAGAAUGGGACCAUCGUCUGGGACCUGGGCCCCCUCUAAGGGCUGAGAGAGCACAUUCCCAGUCGGCCACCAGAACUCUGUACUCGAUUAAAAUUGCAUUUGCUGAACUUGGAGCACACCCACAGAAAGCAGAGCGCCAACCACAACAAAAGUUUCGGAAAUUAAAGUUCUUUCUACAAGGACAACUUGUUGCAGAUAAUCAUUCCUGCCCAACAUGGGGGUUCCGGGACAGGGGGAAAAAGUCUGCAUACUCUGCAACAAAUGGGAGUCUUUAUUGCUUUUAAUCGACCCUCAGCCAAAUAACCAGUUCAUUCGUGAUUGGCUUGCUGCAGAAACCAUGUGGCUCACAACCAACUGAAUAACUGCAGGACCGGAAGAGAUGCUGAGGUCCAAAACAGAAAGCAAAGGGGAAAUGAUCAACAGGAAACUGAGCCUAUGGAAUCAACUUCACGCAGAUCUUGGACAGGAUGUUUGCCUGGUUGCUAAGGAGAGGCUGACGCCUGCGAGGACUUGAGCGUGACCAGUGGAAGUAAGACAAGA